AUUUAUCCUCCCUACCCGACCCCUCACUUCAAGGGCUUUACUUUGGAGAAUUCCAAAAGGGUUUUUUCAUUUUCAAACUCCCUAGAUAAUGGCAUCUGAUGAUCUGGUGUGGAAUUAUUGUAAGAAAGUCAAUAGCAAUAGUGAUUUGGAGUGCCUAGCAUGUAACAAAAUUUACAAAGGCAUCAAGACUAACGCUGUGUUUCCGAGUUAACUUAAUGAGGGAUAAGAAAAGAAAGCAAAAGUGAGAAAGGAAAGGACGAGAAAGGAAAAAAAAGAUGACUUUCCCACCGCUUCCUCCCAAAUCGGAAGGAAAGAAAAAUUAAAGAAUUUAACCUAGUUUUCUUGUCAUUUCCUUUCUUUUCCUUCUUUAAACGAAACUCGGGAAUACGACAUGUUUUAUUUUCCUUUCUUUUCCUUCCUUAAAUGAAACUCUGGAACACAAAAUAUUUUUACUUUCUUUAUGUUUCCUAUCCUUUCCUUCCAUUAGUAAACUCUGGAACACAGUGUAAGAGAAUGAAGCAGCAUCUCGCGGAUAUAGGGGAUGUCCCCGAAUGUAAAAAGGUCACAGAGGCAGUUCGUAAACCGAUGCUUAAAAAUUUAGACGAUGCUGAAUCAAGAAGUAAGGUUGGGGGUGAUGGUGAUUAUGAUGAUUCCAAAAAAGAGUUGGGUUUCGCGAUUGGACGAUUCUUCAUAGACGCAUGAAUACCAUUCGGUAUGGUUUAUUCCCCAUACUUCCAAGCCUUGCUUGAUGUAAUUAGUUCUCAACCACCAAAGGUUAUUGCACCUUCUUUUCAAUAGUUGCAAGGGUCGAUCUUCAAAGAUAUUACCUCCUAAAUGAAAACGGAUGUUGAAAGGGGCUUAGGUAAAUGUGAAGAAAAUGGCUGCUCAAUAAUACUUGAUGAACGGAUAAAAGAUGGUAAAACCUUGGUAAAGUUCUCUAUCCGUUGUUAUGAAUAACUAGUGCUUCUUACCUUAUUCAGCCAAACUGAAAUCACCAAUUUUGAUUG